rnacentral:lncRNA from 1 species
AAUAGGAAGAUCCCAAGUGUCCAUCGAUGGCAGAAUAGAUACAUAAAUGCAGGUCCAUCCACUCAAGGGAAUGCUGCUCAGCAGCGGAAGAGGAGGGAAGGUGACGUGAGCAACACGGAUGAGCUCAGGGACACGUUGAGCAGCAUGAGGCAGGCACAAAAGGGCACAUACCCACGACCCACUUAGAAUAGAAUAGGUCACACAGAACUACGGGGGUAAAAGGAAUCCCAGUGGUCCCCUGGCCUGGGGGAUGGAAUUGACUGAGGGGCUCAGGAAGCCUCUGAGAGCGCUGGAGGAAUUCCAUGUUGGAUUUUGGUACAUAGAUGGAUACAUCAUAAAAAUCCACUCCGCUGCGCCCUUAAGAUUUGCUCAACUUGAUGGAGAAAUCUGAUACCUCCGUAAGAGGUAAAAAUGAAAACCUGGGGAAGUCAAGAACUAAAAACCACUGGGUAGUGUUUUCUGGGGGCAUUUGCAACUUCAGUCUGACUCCCUAGAUCAGGGAGAGGCUCAGUCCCUGGGGCCAUACUUGUGGCACCGUUCAGUGGAUGGGAGGAAACGCCACUCUUCAGCAGAGACUGGGCUGGACACACAUGUGCACACACACCUCCUGCACCACAGCGUGCAGGCUUCAGUGGGUAUGUCCCUCAGGCCUGAGGCUGCUGAAUUCCCUCAGGCCAACAGACAGGAGUUGCAAGGUGGCAGGUAUCUGCCACAGGGACAUUUUUUUGGUACCAGGGAUUGAACCCAGGGGCUCUUAACCACUGAGCCACAUUUCCACCCCCGCUUUAAAUAUUUUAAAGACAGGGUCUCCUGAGUUGCUUAGGGCCUCACCAAUUUGCUGAGGCUGGUUUUGAACUUGGGAUCCUCCUGCCUCAGUCUCCUGAGCUGCUGGGAUUACAGGCAUGUGCCACUGCCCCUGGCUUGGUGACAGCGACAUUGCUUUUCCCACUCUCUCCAUAUCCCUGGAGUGAACUGCCUGACGUGGGUGUUAUAGGGCCUGUCAUGUCCCCAUUUUGCACUGGUGUCCCCAGGCCUGGGCCUGUCCUAUAGCUGACUUUCCUUUGUUGACUGUUGAAGUCCAGGCUGGGGCUGCCAGAGAGAUUAGGGAUUCAGCAGCCUGACCCUCUGGGGGCCGCUCUUUGGGGUGGGAAUAGGACACAAGCAGGACCCAGCUGCAACCCGCUUCCUCACUUAACCACCAAAUGCAGUGGUUUCUUUCUGAAAACAAAAACAAAAGCCCAGCUGAAAAAGAACAGUGACCUCCUACUCAGUUUUUCCGGUCCGACAGGCGUGCACCAAGCACUUUGAGGUCGGUGGCCUGUUACCAUUUCACAGACAGGAAAACGGAGGAUUCGAGGAACUGAGUAAAACCUCAGGGUCACACAGGAAAUUCAACAGGGGGUGAGUGCACGCUGGCUCCAUCAGACUGGGGCUCUCUGGGAGCAUGGCUGUCUCCCCCUGGGGUGUGGAGGAAUUUCUCUAUAGGAGAGGAUUAG